UGGCGGUGAGAAGUAUUUCACCGCAGGACACAAUUCGAAUGGUGUUAGAAAAUCCUGAUUCCGACGACGACGACCUUUGUUCGGACGCUUCUUUGGAGAGCCCAGAAGACAUUGAACAAAUUCUUCCGGACUUUCGAUGCCGGAGGAGGACGGCUUUGAUGACGAGGAUUAGGAAAUAGUUGACAACAUAACGAGAUGAAAGCGGGGAGCAGAAGGCGGGGGCACGGACAUGACCACGUUGAGGCGCAUGACGAAAAUGACGGCGAUCGAGGCCUGAGGCACAUACUCCUGCCGCCGGCGCGCACUCAGGUGGCCAAUGUGUGUUUUUUCACAUGCCGGACAUUUCGUCAUGCAGCGCGUUUGUGCUGUUCACGGAGAUCUACCCUCGUUUGUGCUGUUCACGGAGAUCUACCCUGAGUGGAACGUGAAGAAAAGCUACAAGCGCCGACUAUUUCUUGAGGAACUUGGCAAGGCUCUAAUUCGGCCAGAAGUUCUAAAACGGGAACCACCGCCUUCUGCCGAAGGCUUGGUUGAGCAGCGAGCUGGACCCCCGUCCAAGCGCAAACAAUGUGGCCUUUGCACAAAGCCACUUCGGGCUUCGAACAUAAUAAUAAAUAAUAAUACAUUUUAUUUAUAACGCACUUUACAUUUGAACAACAAAUCUCAAAGUGCACAUCAUGAAUUGUGUAUGUUGUUAUUAUGUUAACUGUUAUAUUGUAUGUAUGUUUUGUAAAAUUGUUAACAUAAAUUCUAUCAUCAAAUCA